rnacentral:rRNA from 1 species
UAAUGUAUGGGGAUCUGCCCGAUAGAGGGGGAUAACUACUGGAAACGGUGGCUAUACCGCAUAAUGUCUACGGACCAAAGCAGGGGCUCUUCGGACCUUGCACUAUCGGAUGAACCCAUAUGGGAUUAGCUAGUAGGUGGGGUAAAGGCUCACCUAGGCGACGAUCUCUAGCUGGUCUGAGAGGAUGAUCAGCCACACUGGGACUGAGACACGGCCCAG